rnacentral:lncRNA from 1 species
CACGUCUCCUGAAGGAAAAGGUCAGGAAGAAAGAAUGUGUUCCCAGAACUCAAACGAGCCCCAGGGAGGGCAGGGUCACCAAACUAGAAAAACAAAUCAGCCUGAAAUGCCAGGGACACCUGUGAGGGUCAGCGGGACCUUCAGAACUCGAACAAGUGGCUCCAGGCACACCUGCUCCCGGGCAUGACUACAAGUGUCCUGUGUGGGGGGCAGGCCGUCCCCCAUGGUCAGCAGGCAGAAGGCAGCUCGUGUAGCCCUCUGAUGGAACUUGGCUUCUCCUGCAGAAAAGAAGAUUCUCGAUAUACUCAUGGCAAAUUAGCACGAGAGUGACUGGUCAGUAAUACCAACAUAGCAUACAUUUUUUAGGAAAGACUCAACUGUGUAUGAGAUUAUGUAUGUUCAUAAAAUGAUGCGUGCGUGUGUGUAGAGACCAGACAGAAAGUCGUAGCUAAAAUAAAGAUGUGAGCAAACAGGAGCAGGGUCGCUCUUCCCGCAACCACCUCGCCCGAUCCCCUCCUCCCUGCCUCCCUGAAGCCCCGCGUCAUUGGCUUCCUAUCACUGACUUUCCAGCUCGUCAGCGUCCUGGUAAACAUACAAGAACUGAUCCUCUAAGCCCAGGUCUGGCGAGACUUUUGGUUGAUAUUUUCAUGUUAUAACAGCGGGUGGCAAGCUUCUUCUGUAAAGGGCCAGACCGUAAAUAUUCUAGGUUUUGCAGGGCACACGGUCCCAGUCACCCGCCAACAGCCACUGACACCAUGCAGGUGUUCCAGUAAAACCUCAGAAGCAAUUCCGGGAAGACAGUGGAGAAACAAUGAAGACGUGGGCAGGACCUUCACGCCUUUGUGCUGAGUUGCACCUGACCUCUCUGCUCAGGCAGACACUUGUUUUCAAAUACAAAAUAAGUGAAUAAAUAAAACGCAUGAAUGUCCCAUA